UCUCCCAAGGCAGGGUCCUGGGCUGCGUUUGGAGCGGGUUAAAAGGCAGCCCUGGGGCCUGGGCUUUUGGCCUCGAAUCAAGAUGAACGUUACACGCACGGAGGCUUGAGAGCAGGCAGUUUAAGGCAUGAAGUCCCUACUCAUGCAUGAACAGCUCUUUUAACUUUGGGGUGUAUCAUUUUCAGGGUAUUGCAGGUUCCGACGGUCUUCCUGGGGAUAAAGGAGAACUGGGUCCCAGCGGCCUGGUCGGACCCAAAGGAGAGGUGAGUGCCCGGCGACUGUUCCAAUGACACCAUCCGUGGGCGCCUGCUGGCUUCCUGCCCACCGCUGGGCAACGAGGCAGCCCUGCAGGGCACUGCCCAGAUCUGAGAUUGUAAAAAAGCUUGCUCUGGUCAAGGCUGGGCAAGACGGCUCCUUGUCGGCCGGGAAAGAGCACGUCGGGGUGGCUCUGGGCUCCUGGGCUCACCCCUGACCCACCUUCCUCUGUUUCUCUGCAGUCUGGCAGUCGAGGGGAGCUGGGCCCCAAAGGCACCCAGGGUCCCAACGGCACCAGCGGUGUUCAGGGUGUCCCCGGGCCCCCCGGUCCUCUGGGCCUGCAGGGUGUCCCGGGUGUUCCUGGCAUCACGGGGAAGCCGGGAGUUCCGGUACGUCACUGUCCCAGCUUUCACAGGGUUGGGAUCGUGUUUUUUCCUGAAGGAAGUUACUUUGCGGGGUGAUGGUGGGAAUGCCUUACAGAGGCUGCCGCCCCCAUGCUGACGAAUGUGUGGGGUGAAUUCCAGGGGAAGGAGGCCAGCGAGCAGCGCAUCAGGGAGCUGUGUGGGGGGAUGAUCAGCGGUAAGUCAGCCACCCGCACCUGCUGCAGCGGGGCCCGUCCCCACCUGGGGGUACCGUGCCUGGGGCUACACACAGAGCCUUUGCGCCACCGCUUUCCAGCCAAAGUGAGCCGCUGGCACUCACCCCG
rnacentral:sRNA from 1 species